rnacentral:rRNA from 1 species
GCGACGAUGGUUAGCUGGUCUGAGAGGAUGAUCAGCCACACUGGAACUGAGACACGGUCCAGACUCCUACGGGAGGCAGCAGUGAGGAAUAUUGCGCAAUGGGGGCAACCCUGACGCAGCAACGCCGCGUGAGUGAGGAAGGUUUUCGGACCGUAAAGCUCUGUCGAGCGGGAAGAAAUGCAUGGUGGCUAAUAUCCAUCAUGCUUGACGGUACCGCUAAAGGAAGCACCGGCUAACUCCGUGCCAGCAGCCGCGGUAAUACGGGGGGUGCGAGCGUUGUUCGGAAUUAUUGGGCGUAAAGAGCGUGUAGGCGGCCGAAUAAGUCAGAUGUGAAAUCCCUGGGCUUAACCCAGGACGUGCAUUUGAAACUAUUCGGCUGGAGUAGGGGAGAGGAAAGUGGAAUUCCUGGUGUAGAGGUGAAAUUCGUAGAUAUCAGGAGGAACACCGGUGGCGAAGGCGACUUUCUGGCCCUAUACUGACGCUGAGACGCGAGAGCGUGGGUAGCAAACAGGAUUAGAUACCCUGGUAGUCCACGCUGUAAACGAUGUUCACUAGGUGUUGGGGGUAUUGACCCUCUCAGUGCCGCAGCUAACGCA